UACGGAGGACCCGAGCGUUAUCCGGAUUUAUUGGGUUUAAAGGGUGCGUAGGCGGUUUGAUAAGUUUGAGGUGAAAUGUCGGGGCUCAACCCCGAAACUGCCUCUAAUACUGUUGGACUAGAGAAUAGUUGCGGUAGGCGGAAUGUAUGGUGUAGCGGUGAAAUGCUUAGAGAUCAUACAGAACACCGAUUGCGAAGGCAGCUUACCAAACUAUAUCUGACGUUGAGGCACGAAAGCGUGGGUAGCAAACAGG
rnacentral:rRNA from 1 species